UAACCGAGGUUUAGCAAAUUAUGCGCAUGCGCGUAUGAGUUACUUUGAACCAUUUUCCGGUAUUUGUCGUAAACGUUCUUCCAGUUUGGUCUUCAAGGGCAUUUUACGAACUCGAGUCAACAUGUUUCGGUUUGCUAAAGCAGCCCUGAACGUCUCCGGAAAAGGUGCCCGUCUUGUGAGGUUCAGUUCAACCCAUGCCCCCGAAUUCCAUGCGAAGUAUGGCACUGGCCUGAUGGUCGGAGGAGUCGCGUUCUGUGUGUCAGUCUGGGGAUUUGUACUAACACAAACCGGCAUCACAUGGAAUCUGUCUCCAGUUGGGAAGGUCCAACCCAAACCAUGGAGGGAUGCGGAAGAAUAAUGGACUGGGACUGCUCUCUUGAGAAAUCGACCACAGCAGACCACAAAACACUUAUUCCAGAUAUCCCUAUCAACAUUCUGGUUGUACAGAUGGAUACCCAUGUUUUUAACUUGUUGCCGUCCUGACAUUACCCAUGUAGUCAAUAAAUUAAAUGUAAACCAAA